CAUCUCGGGCAGCUGCUCCUCCAAGAGGUGCCCGGCGCUCUGCAGCUGCACGGGAGAAAGAGAAAAAAAAAAUGCGGGGAGCAGCACAGCACGGCGUCGUCCUUCACGUCUUUGGACUGCAGCAGCUACAGUGGGACAAGAACGGAAGCGGUGCCAAUUUAGACCGAGGCAGAUGCAAGCACGGCGACGUCCGGCGUAGUGACGAAGACGAGGAGGGAAGGAGGCGAGACGUAAUUUUACAGCACCGUGUGUACCAAAGAAAAAAAAAAAACGAGAUCAAUUUCAAAGGCGUUUUACGUUUCUAGGAGUCCAUGUCUAUAAAUCAAAAUAGAGUGGAAAAUGUUAUUUCGGUUGAUCAAUGGAAAAAGCAAAACCUCGAUCAGACAAAUUCAUGAAAGACAAACCAAACCGAUUUCUGUCUUAAAAAAAACAUUUAUUUGUUCUUCACUGUGAGCAUAAUCAUCAUCGUUAGGUUGCCCUAAAUUUCUUUCCUAAAAGCACUGACUUGUCCAUUUCACGUCUGUUGGACUGGUUUUGGAAACUGUCCAUAUAUGAACCGUUUUCAGCUAUUUUCCGCCGAAAGACGUAGAAAUAUUCAGACUAAGAGAAACACAAUACCGCGAACGUACUUCUAUCACGAACUGUGACAGCGAACGUCCCUACAACGGGACACUCACGCUUCAAUUUAUGCGGACAUGUCAACUUAUGCCCAUUCCAAACUUUGCAAAUAUUCAAAUGCAAGACAAACGGCAUAAGCUGAGACGUCCACAUCAAUUUGGAUGAAAUUUGACGGGAGUAUUUUCUGCAUGUCAUGUCUGGGAAAACUUUUAAACUGGAAAAAAAAAA